AACGGGGGCGCGCACGCCGCCCUCUGAACCCGCGCCGUCGCUGUGGGGCGCAGGGCGCUGAAACCUGGGCUGGAGCGCUCUAUGAGGUGAUUUCCUCACUGCCGGUGUGGCUCUACCUCUAUUGUACCAAGUCCUUUUCGAUUUUAGAAUCUUGCAUUCUCGGAAGAAGUCUAGAGCCCUCAUUUCAGAGGAAAUAAGCCCAAGGAGAGCGACUUGUCUUCUCGUAGAUGUGGGUCGCUGUUCUCCCGUCCGCUCACUGGCGCUGCACCGGGAUAAUCUCUGGAGUGGCUCUUAUAAGUGAAAAACUGGCCAGUGAUCUGCCUUUAGAAAGCUACCUCACUUCUGUGUAUAAGGUAUGUGUGUGCCCUGCAUCCAUCUCAAAGAGCUGCAUGAACAGACAUAAGGGCGUGCCCUUUAAAGUGGUUGAUAAUUUUAAUCGCAUCCUGCAAAAUUUUGUUUAGGUGACAUUUUUCAGCUAGCCAGCAUUUUUGUAUCGACAUAGACUCACGUGCAGAAGUGACUUCUUUGACCCAAGUAGUGAAAUUAAAAAGCUGUCCAGUGAUGGCAGUUGUUCCACUCAUGUAUAUAGUAUCACAAAAUGACCAGUUCUAUUUUUGUGAUUUGUAAUCAUUGAAUAAUUCUGAGGCUGGGGUGUUAGUACAACAAAAGUACACGUAACCUAUCUUCAUGUAUAUCUUCCUAAAAAUGUAGCACACAAAAACAAGAAUUGUUGCCUUGUCAACAUUGCUAAACUUGCCAUCCUGGAUUGCAUACCACAGUGACUCAUUGGUCCCCUAAAUAUUGAGAUUCAAUAUUCUCCACUUUUUCAUGAAUUCAUGUUGUUAAUGGUGGUAGCCAAAAGAGGAACAUAUGCUUUUGAACUGCAAUCUAUCCUAAAAGUUCACCACA
rnacentral:lncRNA from 1 species